rnacentral:rRNA from 1 species
UACGUAGGGUCCGAGCGUUGUCCGGAAUUACUGGGCGUAAAGGGCGCGUAGGCGGUCGUGACAAGUCACUUGUGAAAUCUCCGGGCUUAACUCGGAACGGUCAAGUGAUACUGUCGGACUAGAGUACAGAAGGGGCAACUGGAAUUCUCGGUGUAGCGGUGAAAUGCGUAGAUAUCGAGAGGAACACCUGCGGCGAAGGCGGGUUGCUGGGCUGAUACUGACGCUGAGGCGCGAAAGCCAGGGGAGCGAACGGG